UACGUAGGGUGCAAGCGUUAAUCGGAAUUACUGGGCGUAAAGAGUGCGCAGGCGGUGAUGUAAGACAGAUGUGAAAUCCCCGGGCUCAACUUGGGAACUGCAUUUGUGACUGCAUCGCUGGAGUGCGGCAGAGGGGGAUGGAAUUCCGCGUGUAGCAGUGAAAUGCGUAGAUAUGCGGAGGAACACCGAUGGCGAAGGCAAUCCCCUGGGCCUGCACUGACGCUCAUGCACGAAAGCGUGGGGAGCAAACAGG
rnacentral:rRNA from 1 species